rnacentral:rRNA from 1 species
GACUGCAGCCAUGCCACCUUGAACAUGCCUGAUCUCGUCUGAUCUCGGAAGCUAAGCAGGAUCAGGCCUGUUUAGUACUUGGAUGGGAGACCACCUAGGAAGACCAAGUGCUGUAGCCG